UACGAAGGGGGCUAGCGUUGCUCGGAAUCACUGGGCGUAAAGGGUGCGUAGGCGGGUUUUUAAGUCAGAGGUGAAAUCCUGGAGCUCAACUCCAGAACUGCCUUUGAUACUGGGAAUCUUGAGUAUGGAAGAGGUGAGUGGAACUGCGAGUGUAGAGGUGAAAUUCGUAGAUAUUCGCAAGAACACCAGUGGCGAAGGCGGCUCACUGGUCCAUAACUGACGCUGAGGUGCGAAAGCGUGGGGAGCAAACAGG
rnacentral:rRNA from 1 species